ACCUGACUGAUUUAGCAGACUUGACUCACUUGUAGUGACAUUGCCGUACCUGAAAAGGAUUCCGUACACUGAGACGGCUUUCCAGCAUGGUCCUAAGGUUUACCUUGAUCCUGGGCUUAUGUUUGGUGUCUGUGACUUCCUGUCCCCCGGGCACCACAUGCGACCCAUUCCAGUGCUUUGACGUGGUGUCAUGUCGUCUUUACUCCGGCUGGCAAAAUUGUCAAUGUACGCCAUUUUUCCUACCGCCACAGGGCCUGUCCUGCAUGGACUGGAUCCUCUUUACCUGCUCCGUAUACAACGUGGACCUGGACACUGUGAUGUGUGGCGGAAAUGGCUGUGAUGACCUUCCUUCGAUUUAAAGACACCAGAGUGGCCCUGUGAAAUCUUGUGAGUAAUUAUGUGUCCGUGAAGACGUGAUCGCCAUUUUACAGUAGAAUCAGUUCAAAUGCGAUUUGUUCGUC